GACGAACGCUGGCGGCGUGCCUAAUACAUGCAAGUAGAACGCUGAAGCUUGGUGCUUGCACCGAGCGGAUGAGUUGCGAACGGGUGAGUAACGCGUAGGUAACCUGCCUGGUAGCGGGGGAUAACUUUUGGAAACGAUAGCUAAUACCGCAUGAUAUUGAUUAUUGCAUGAUAGUCAAUUAAAAGGUGCAAUUGCAUCACUACCAGAUGGACCUGCGUUGUAUUAGCUAGUUGGUGAGGUAACGGCUCACCAAGGCAACGAUACAUAGCCGACCUGAGAGGGUGAUCGGCCACACUGGGACUGAGACACGGCCCAGACUCCUACGGGAGGCAGCAGUAGGGAAUCUUCGGCAAUGGACGGAAGUCUGACCGAGCAACGCCGCGUGAGUGAAGAAGGUUUUCGGAUCGUAAAGCUCUGUUGUAAGAGAAGAACGAGUGUGAGAGUGGAAAGUUCACACUGUGACG
rnacentral:rRNA from 1 species